UACGGGGGGAGCAAGCGUUGUUCGGAUUUACUGGGCGUAAAGGGCGCGUAGGCGGUCAGCACAAGUCAGUUGUGAAAUCUCCGGGCUUAACUCGGAAAGGUCAACUGAUACUGUGCGACUAGAGUGCAGAAGGGGCAACUGGAAUUCUCGGUGUAGCGGUGAAAUGCGUAGAUAUCGAGAGGAACACCUGCGGCGAAGGCGGGUUGCUGGGCUGACACUGACGCUGAUGCGCGAAAGCUAGGGGAGCAAACAGG
rnacentral:rRNA from 1 species